rnacentral:rRNA from 1 species
UACAGAGGUCUCAAGCGUUGUUCGGAUUCAUUGGGCGUAAAGGGUGCGUAGGUGGCGCCGUAAGUCAGGUGUGAAAUUUCGGAGCUUAACUCCGAAACUGCAUUUGAUACUGCGGUGCUUGAGGACUGGAGAGGAGACUGGAAUUUACGGUGUAGCAGUGAAAUGCGUAGAUAUCGUAAGGAAGACCAGUGGCGAAGGCGGGUCUCGUGGGCAGUUCCUGACGCUGAGGCACGGAAGGCCAGGGGAGCAAACGGG